CACGGAGGGUGCGAGCGUUGUUCGGAAUCAUUGGGCGUAAAGCGCGUGUAGGCGGAUAGGCAUGUCCGGUGUGAAAUCCCAAGGCUCAACCAUGGAAUUGCGCCGGAAACCGCUUGUCUUGAGUACGGGAGGGGGACGUGGAAUUCUUGGUGUAGGGGUAAAAUCCGUAGAUAUCAGGAGGAACACCGAUGGCGAAGGCAACGUCCUGGACCGAUACUGACGCUGAGACGCGAAAGCGUGGGGAGCAAACAGG
rnacentral:rRNA from 1 species